UACGUAGGGUGCAAGCGUUAAUCGGAAUUACUGGGCGUAAAGCGUGCGCAGGCGGCUUUGCAAGACAGAUGUGAAAUCCCCGGGCUUAACCUGGGAACUGCAUUUGUGACUGCAUGGCUGGAGUGCGGCAGAGGGGGAUGGAAUUCCGCGUGUAGCGGUGAAAUGCGUAGAUAUCGGAAGGAACACCAGUGGCGAAAGCGGCUUCCUGGUCCAGCACCGACGUUCAGGCACGAAAGCGUGGGGAGCAAACAGG
rnacentral:rRNA from 1 species